rnacentral:rRNA from 1 species
CCUACGGGAGGCAGCAGUGAGGAAUAUUGGUCAAUGGGCGAGAUCCUGAACCAGCCAAGCCGCGUGAGGGAAGACGGCACUAUGGGUUGUAAACCUCUUUUGUCGGGGAACAAAACCCGGGACGUGUCCCGGACUGCGUGUAUCCGAAGAAAAAGCAUCGGCUAACUCCGUGCCAGCAGCCGCGGUAAUACGGAGGAUGCGAGCGUUAUCCGGAUUUAUUGGGUUUAACGGGUGCGUAGGCGGUCCGUUAAGUCAGCGGUAAAAUUGCGGGGCUCAACCCUGUCGAGCCGUUGAAACUGGCAGACUCGAGUUGGAGAGAAGUAUGCGGAAUGCGCGGUGUAGCGGUGAAAUGCAUAGAUAUCGCGCAGAACUCCGAUUGCGAAGGCAGCAUACCGGCUCCAGACUGACGCUGAGGCACGAAAGCGUGGGGAUCGAACAGGAUUAGAUACCCGUGUAGUC